GGUCCUGUGGUCUAGUGGUAUGAUUCUCGCUUUGGGUUCACAUCCUGAUCUGCGAGAGGCCCCGUGUUCGAACCACGGCAGGACCC